rnacentral:lncRNA from 1 species
AGGUUGUUACAACCGCCUCUAGCCCCGCCUCGGCCGCAGCUUGGGGCAUUAAUACCAGGGGGAGCCCUUGUUGUCUUGACCCCCCAUCUAUACCGAGUCCACGACCAGAUCGAGCUAAUUCGGGCACAAACCCGUCGAGGAGAGAGAGAGUGAGUGAGUGAGUCAUGCGUCGCCGGGAGUGCCCUAGACCGUGUAUUGGUUGUUCAAGCGGGGGAGCCGCACAGGAACUCCCACGUCGCAUUGGACAAGCUAUUCGUGGCAUCAUCAGUCGAGGGACGGUGAUCGAGCGGUGGGAUUUCUCGCCGGGCAGUGGUGGUUGGCGCGGGGUUCCCCUCAUUGGAGGCAGUAGAGUCUACGCAUCCGAUCUAGGUGAGGACUCCUCCCUCUAAUUCGUUACGGCCUCCUCCAUGAAUAGUGCGCAUCUAGCGAAUGUUAGGAAGCGAGGAUGAUCACUGGGGCAUCGCUAGUAAUGUCGCAGUUGUGGGUGAAAGGGCCGGCACUGCUUGGCCUACCGCGUAGGAAGAAGAUGAAAUCGUGGCCGUCGAUUUCCUCGCAGACGUGCCUGAUCAGGGCUCGAAUUAGAGAUGGCCAAACGGGCCGCCCGGCCCGGCCCGGCCCGGGCCCGGUGAAGCCCGGCCAAAAACCGGGCCGGGCCUGCUGUGCCAUCGUGCUCAAGUUUCUGUCCAAGCCGGCCCGCAGCGGGCCUAAACGGGCCGGGCCGGCCCGUUUAGCACGAAAAAAACGGGCCGAAAACGUGCUAAACGGGCCGGUAAGCACGUUUUAGUGUAAAAAAACCGGGCUUAACGGGCUUAGAGGUAAACGGGUCGUGCCGGGCUAGCCUGCCGUGCCUAGUUUCCUGUCCAAGCCCGCCCGCUUAUUCUACCGUGCCGGGUUCGGACCGGGCCCAAAAACCGGGCUUCGUGCCGGGCUCACGGGCCUCGUGCUUUUUGGCCAUCUAUAGCUCGAAUACCCUUCGAGUAAAUAGAUCUGGGCCUCGUGUCUGAAAUUGUGUGGGCUAAAUUAGAUCCUGGUCUUUUAAAUCUGGAGCGUAGACGAUUGGUCCAACUGUCCUUGAUGCUAGAUACCCCUUCGCAUGGCAUAUUUAGUAAAGAGCCCCUCAGCUUUUCCGAAACUAACCCACCAUCCCUAACAGUUGUAAAACCAUUGCACCUAAGUCCAAACUCUUCCGAAAUAGACCUUGACCUUGUAAUAAAUAAUACACGCAGUCCAUUUUAAUUCAUAAUAAAUGAAUAAAGCCCUGGGAAUUGAUUUUUGGAAUAAAAACAAUUCCUAGAACUUUGAAAAUCCAUAACUUGCUCAUUUUUUCUCCAAUUUGAUCCAUUCAAAUUGUGUUAACUUCGUAAUAAUGUUGCCUACAUCUCCGUAACAUUACUUUAUCAAAUAACAUGGUUUCAAAAAUAAAUAUUCAUUUAACCUAUGUUUAGUGGAUUAACCCUUCUAAACAAAGUUAAUAUAUCCAUAAUUAUAGUGUGACUAAAAUAUAACCUCUAUGCAAAUUAUAAACUAGAUUAAAGAUAAAUUAGUUAUUUAUUUGUCAUAACCUUCCGACUUAUAUUAAUCAAUUAAGAUUAAAAGAUUUACUAUUUAACCAUCUAAAACUUGAGAAUAUUAUAUCUUUUAACCGUAACUCCGAUUUUAGUCGUUCUCGAACCCACGACCUCGUAGCAACGUGUAGAUUAUUAUUAUUGCAUAUUGUGCUUGUGUUUGUUGUGAUGUUAAUUUUGCCUAUACCAUGUUUGUUUGUAUUGCUACGUUUAGCAGUGAGGUCACGAGUCACCUGAAGAUCAUCCUGGUACCUGGAAUCUCAAGUCCAGGCAAGUUGUGCCCUUGACCACUUUUAUUGUCCAAUAAUGUUCUUUAUUAUCACUUAUUCAUGCAUAGGCUUAAUUUUGAUGGGACCUAAUAGGUCACCCUAGUUUGGUUAUCUUGUUACCUUGUUUACCCCUGAACGAUUUGGGUAGUUUUGCUAUUGCUCUAUAUGGUUUUGGGUUUAAUAUUACAUCAUGUUCAUGUUCCAAUUAUACUAUUAUUUUAUUUAUUGUUCAUGACAAGAUCAUUAUAUUAAUUAGAACAUGGAGCUUAACUUGAGAAACACGUGCCACCACAAGGGUGGAAUGAGAUGCCUUGGCUGACUAACUAGGAAAGCUAGUGGAGGACUACCUUACCCGAUAUGGACAAGGGCAGUAGGGGAGUAGGCGUGUAGGGAGGUUCCCGGGUUGAUUUUGCUGCGAUGGCGAUCAGACGAGGGAUUCCUUUAUUGCUCUUCCUAGAACUGUAGCGGGUUUUCUAAAGCUAAUGGAACUUUGUAAAGGCCUCAUAGUGGAUCCCCAGCCAUUCACCUCGGUAGUUUUUAAGGGUCUAGCUAACCAUGGCGACAUGGGAUACAUGACUUGUGGGUACAGGGUACAACCUCUGCAGAGUGUAAAACUGGUAUACUAGUCAUGCUCGCGGUCAUGAGCAGCUCAGGACUCUCGCAUGAUUAAAUUAUGGAACUAAAUUCAAUUUGUCAGUUGCAUUGCAUGGGAUUUUUUUAUUAAUUUUGUUCUAUUAUUAUUAUGGUUUGGUAUUUACUUACAUUUAGUAUCUGCUAAUAAAAUUUGACCAACUUAUUAAAAGCAAUGCUCAGCUUUAACCCCUAUUAUUGAUCAGCCUUACACAUCACAUGAACUCUCACCUUUGGUGAGUUCAUGCACAUUAUUCCCCACAACUUGUUGAGCGAUGAAUAUAUGUGAGCUCACCCUUGCUGUCUCACACCCCCCACACACACAGGUCAAGAACAGGUACCACAGGAUGAGGCGCAUGGAGGAUACUGUGAUGUUUUCAUGAGAGGUCUAGGUCGUCGUCUUCCAGUUAACAUUGGGUUGCUGGAUCAUUGUCUCCUGACGAUGUAAUUAUUUAUUUAUUUUGUACAGAACUCCUAUUAUAAAGUAAAGUUGUGACAUUUGUUUAUGUACCAUGAUUGAUCAUAUGUGUGAGACUUGGUCUCAGCACACCUGGUGAUUAUGUUCGCACCUGGGUCCCUAAAACCCGGGUGUGACAUUAGCUCAACUAUUGCUUGCCACAUGGCGUCGAGCAUGUAACCACGAAACAUGAUAGGGAUAAUUCUCUCCAUUAAUAUAUGGAAGUCAUGGCUCUUUAACCCAGUUAGUUUUCCUGUUUUCAAAUUCACAACUCUUUUCAAGCCCAUAGCAUAACCAUCGGGAAAUUUAAUUUUUUUCAUCCAUCUCAUUACCUCGAUCUUGUCCUUAGAGGUAAGACAGAACAAGGCAUGUGGCGGCUUGCUGUUGUCAUUGAGCACUUGGGUUGGUCGGUCAUAAAGCAUUGCUAGUUCUCUUCGAGUUUUCAGAUUCUCCUUUGUUUUUUCAAAAUUCAUGCAGGUGUGUAUGAGGGCUUCAGCAACAUUACUUUCUUGGUGCAUGACAUCAAUGUUGUGCAUAAGAAUCAAUGACGGCAUAUAAGGGAGCUCCCACAGACCACAUAUAUGUGUCCAGUUGUGGUCCAUUCUGAAUCCUUGGUACUUGUCCCCCUUUUCAUUUAGCACAAGGUUGUUCAACUAAGCAUAUAUUAUUGUUGUGUUUAAACGUUUAGGCAGUCCUUUGGUGACCACGGUGUUCUUUAUAAAGUUUUUUUAUCGCUCCUAAAGGGGUGUUUCCUGGGCAACCAGCGUCGAUGGCAAUCGAAGUAAGUGAUCUUUCCACCAUGAGCAAGACGGAAGCAAUCUGUAUCUGAACCGCAAUAUGGACAUGUCAAUCUAUCAUGUGUACUCCAACUGGCAAAAAUAGCAUACGCCAUGAAGCCAUGCACCGACCACAAAUACGCAACUCGAAGUUUGAAUAUCUGUUUUUAAAAACAUUGUAUGCUUCGACUGCUUUUCAAAGAUCCUUCAACUCUUUAAUCAAGGAUUUUAACAUGACAUUGAGUUUCUUUCCAGGAUGGUUUGGGCUAGGUAUGAUUAAGCAAAGAAAUAUAAACUCAUACUUCAUACAAAGAGAAGGUGGAAGGUUGUAUGGAAUAACAAAGAUGGACCAACAUGGGUAUGGUGAUGUUAUUUGACCAAAAUGUAAUACCCAAAUCAUAGUAAAAAAAGGAGUUAGAGUAUUUGAUGUUUAUGGAUUUUUUCCUUUCUAUGUGACACAUGCAUAUAUAUAUACACAUAAAAGUUAAUACAUUCUUUAGUAACUAGAAAGAAUAUAUAUAAUAGUGAAAAUACUUCUUCAUGUUGGUAUUUUAUUUGUGCAUAUAAUCUAAGUGUGAAACUCACAACAAAAUUUGAAUUCAAAUUUGAGAUCUAAAAAUAAAAAAUAAAAGAAAACUGAAAAGAAAAAGAAAAAGAAAAAAGAAAACGCGCGCUUGGGCCAAAUUGGCCACAUCGGCCCACUCCAACCCCGCAGCAAGCUUACCCUCGGCCUAGGCAUGGCUGUGUCUGGUAGACCUAUGGGACCCACCCGUCAAUGGCGUCGUGCGCGUUCUCCUCCCCACUCAAGCUAUUGGCACCGACAUCUGGGGACCACUUUGUCAGCCUCCUCUUCUAUUCCUCCUCGCUGAGUCAUGGGCCUGUGUGACCAGCUACCUCCGCCCUCUUACCUCGGGGACCCACCUGUCAUUGCACUCGUUCACCUAAAAAUCUGGUGCAGCCAAUUACCUCCCGAGGAACCAUCCUCCAUCCCUGACCUCGCCCUCUUGAGUCUGCGUCUGCCGCAUUAUUAGAGUCCCCGUUUCCCCCUCUCCUCAUAGGUGACCAGAGAGCCAAGUUGCGACCUGAAAAUCCGAGAGCGAGAGAGAGAGUUGGGAGCGGCGCUGUGACCAAUACUUGUGGAAUGCGCCGUCGAAACUUUACUGCAGGGGGCAGUUGGGAUCACCCGAACACACCGCUUGCGGUAGAACCCUCCUAGGGCAGGAUCGAGGUCGGUGCAACGUUGAAUUUCUCGCCGGAGGUCAAAGCAGGGGCAGAUCCACCCUCUCCCAUGGGCGCCUAACUCUGUGUGUCUAAACGCAGGUGAAUCACCAUCCUCGGGUUCGGUUCGUCAUCCACAAUAAUUUUGGGGGUUUGUGGGGGAAUUUGGGCGUUGGGGCUUCGACGGGUCGCGUGCGACAAUGGCGCCGCCAUGGUUAUGGGUGGCCCGUCGUCGCCAGCAACGACUCAUGCUGGGUUGUCGUGCACCAUUGAUUGUCUAGGUGACGGAUGAGAUUAGGUGAUGCGUAUUGUUUCGGGUAGAUCCCGUGUAGACCGUGCGAUCUAGAUCUGACGUGCAGGGAUGAAACGCGUUACUUUAAAUCCAUAGCGUUGGUCACGGAUCCGAUCGUUGUCCUCGCGUAUCGCUUCAUUGAGAGCGUGGUUCUAAUCUGGAGCGGUUAUCGAUUGGGCGUCUUAGAACAAAUGAUACCCUUUCGUUCAGACAUAUUAACAAAAGAGACCCUACGCUUGCACAAAAUUAACUUGCCAUCCACGGUUGUUUUAGAAUCAUUACCAACAAGUCCUAGUUCUUAUAAACCGACCCCUAGAUUUUCUAGGAAUAGUGGCCGCCACCCAAUACUUUGAGAAAGCAGUAAAUAAAUUAAAGAAAUUGAAUUUUAGCAUAAAAUCUAUUCACCAACAUUAGGAAAUUCAUAACUUCUUUAAGUUAGCUCCAAAUUGAUACAUUCCAGUUGCAUUAGACUCAUAUUAAUAUUGUCUAUCAGUUCGUAACCUAAUUUUACCAUGUAACAUAGAGAUUAACUCAAGCACUCAUUUUGUUUUAUGUUUAGCACCUAAAUAUUCAGAAAAUCAUAACUCUUAAACCGUAACUCCGAAUUUAGUGGUUCUCGAACCUAGAAUCUCGUUAUGAUACGUAGAAUAUUAUCAUGCAUUAUGUUAUUCUAUUUGGUGUGAUGUUAAUUUCUCCUAUACCAUGUUUGUUAGUAUUGUUGUGAGUAGACGAGCAAGCAACCACGGACCCAGGUACUCAGCAGGUGGAAAAUUCUGAGCAGGAGCUCGUUGAAGGAAAGUUGUGUCCUUGACCACUUUCAUUUAUCCAAUAAUGUUCUCUAUAAUCAUUUUGGCAUGCUUAAACUUAAUUUUGAUGUGACCCAAUAGGUCACCCUAGUUUGAUCAUCUUUAUACCUUGUUAACCACUGAACUUUUUGGGUAGUAUCUGCUAUUGCUAUAUGUGGUUUUGGGUGUUGAGAUAAUUACUAUUCAUGAUCAUGCUUUGUUAUUAUUGUUCUACUCUGAUCAUGAUAAGACUAUUGUGUUAAUUAGAACAUGGAGCUUAACUUGAGAUAAACGUGCCACCACAAGGGUGGAAUGGGACGCCCUUGGCUGACUAAUUAGGAAAGCUAGUGGAGGUCUACCUUACCCCAAAGGGGCAAUGGCGGUAGGGAAGUUGUCGAUGUAGGGAGGUUCUCGGGUUGAUUGUGCUGCGAUGGCUUUUCAGACGGGGGACUCCUAUAUCGCUCUCCUUAGAAACCAUAGCGGGUUUUCUGAAGCUAGUGGAACUUUGUAAAGGCCUUGUAGUGUUACCCUGCCUCGUCUCCUCGAUAGAGAUGAAUGGGAUUUCUAGACCCCUUGGCAAAUGGGUAGCAUGACUUGUGAGUAAAGGGUACAACCUCUGUAGAGUGUAAAACUGGUAUACUACCGUGCUCGCGGUCAUGAGCAGCUCUGGACUCACGCAUGAUUAACUUAUGCAAUUAAACUCAAUUUGUCAUUUACAUCGCAUUAUGGUUUUAUUAUUAAUUUUGAUCUAUUAUUAUUCUGGUUUGGUAUACACUUACAUUUAGUAACUGCUAAUAAAAUUUGACCAACUUAUUAAAAGCAAUGCUCAGCUUUAACCAUUAUUUGUUGACCAGCCUUACACUUCACAUGGGCUCCCACCUUUGGUGAGUUCAUGCACAUUAUUCCCCACAACUUGUUGAGCUAUGAUCUUUUUGUGAGCUCACCCUUGCGAUAUAUAAAACCCCACACAGGUGAAGAACAGGUAGCCCAGGAGGAGGUCUACUACGAGAAGUACGAGCUAGUCUAGGUGGCGUCUCCCAGUCAGCUUUAUGGCGCCAAGGAAUAAUUAUUAGUUCGCUUUAUUGUUAUCAUUUAUUUUUGUAAGACACUUCCGC